rnacentral:rRNA from 1 species
UGCUAUACAUGCAGUCGAGCGGACAGAUGGGAGCUUGCUCCCUGAUGUUAGCGGCGGACGGGUGAGUAACACGUGGGUAACCUGCCUGUAAGACUGGGAUAACUCCGGGAAACCGGGGCUAAUACCGGAUGGUUGUUUGAACCGCAUGGUUCAAACAUAAAAGGUGGCUUCGGCUACCACUUACAGAUGGACCCGCGGCGCAUUAGCUAGUUGGUGAGGUAACGGCUCACCAAGGCAACGAUGCGUAGCCGACCUGAGAGGGUGAUCGGCCACACUGGGACUGAGACACGGCCCAGACUCCUACGGGAGGCAGCAGUAGGGAAUCUUCCGCAAUGGACGAAAGUCUGACGGAGCAACGCCGCGUGAGUGAUGAAGGUUUUCGGAUCGUAAAGCUCUGUUGUUAGGGAAGAACAAGUACCGUUCGAAUAGGGCGGUACCUUGACGGUACCUAACCAGAAAGNCCACGGCUAACUACGUGCCAGCAGCCGCGGUAAUACGUAGUGGCAAGCGUUGUCCG